CCCAGAUCGGGGCAGUUCUCAGUUACCUCUUCGGCAGUGGACUUGGAGCCAUACCCACUUGCUCCGAAUGAGCCGAGGAGGUAUUUCAGAGCAUCAAGCAUUUGUCAAAGCUAAGAGGGAGACGUUAAAAAAAAAAAGAUUGGAAAGGUUUGGAAGGUGAUUCGUGAAGAGAAAGCGUGGAUUGGGAUGAGAUUUUAUAAUGGAUGGAGUGGAGAGUGGGGGAUUGGAUGUUUGUCAUUCAUUGACGAAGAUGAAAACCUUGCAUGAUUGGGGCGAAAGGGCCGAUAAAUGUGGGUGAAGAGUCCAAAGAAAACGACACCGUUUUGUUUCUGAGCCAUUUGAGAUUCAGAAGCAUAGUAGGUCGGACGGAGAAGGGUCGGCGAUUAAUUAAAUGCAACGGAAGCAAAGUACGAGCGUCGAUGCAGAGAGAUUGGAAUCGCGGAAAGGGAAUCGCACGUGAGGCUAGCGAUUCAAAAAUUCAACAGAUCGGUCAAUCCUACGGCCUCGAAUCUGCCACUCUUUUUUACCAGACAAUCAUUACCGUUGAAACCCUUGGAGCAAAAUGACAACCAUACCCCUCCACCUUCAACUCUGUCAGGUACCCUCUCACUCCACAUUAACUCGUUCUAAUCAUGAUUGGACCUUGAUACCUCACUUUUUGAGUCUUCUUUUUGGAUGGUCAUUUAUUAUUAUUAUGAUUAAUAAUAAAUUAAUGAGGAGGUGAAGUUAUAAUCAAAACUGAUAAUGUGAGGGGCACGUUUGUUAAUUGUUAAUUGGAGAUGUGAAGAAAAAGGUGUGUGGGUCCAUGAAAAAGUGGUGCAAAAGAAGUCACGAAAUUUCAGCUUUUUGGAGCACUUCUCUAGGCCCCGUGCCCUCUCAUAUGCCCGGACCGGACCUUCUCCCAUCAUAUGAUUCAUAUCCCUUUAUCCACAUCUCAUCUCUUACAUUCACCUGACUCCCUCCCUUGGUUCAUCACCCUUACUCUUCAUUUCUUUUUCUCCAAACAAACAAUAAUAAUAAUAAUAAUAAUAAUAGCUCUAGAGUCCCUUUUAAUUGAAACUUUUCAUUUAAAAUGACAAUUAGAAUUAAAUUUACUUUUUCAAAAAAUAAUUUUUAAUUUUAUAAUAUAAAAAGUAUCAUAAAUUUAUAAAUAAUUUCAAAAUUAUCAUAUUUCAAUAAAUAUUAAAAAAAAACGAUAUUUUUAUCAAAAUCCUUGUGAACUAUUGAAAGUAGAUGUGAUGAUGUAUGUCGAUAAUAUGAUUACAAUGAGAAACAACUUAAUCAUAUUUGAAUGAAAGCUUUAUAUAUUCGUUGUAAAAGUAAUACAAUGUUAUCAAUUUACCAUUCGGUGUUCCACGUUCCACUUAAUAAUUGAAAAUAAGCUUUAUUUGAUGAUGCUUUUCGGGGAAGUGGGGUUGGCUUGGAGGAGAUGUUGUUGUUAAUGUCUCAUAUGUGGGUGAUUGAGGGUGAUUGAUGAUUUCUCUAUGUUGUAUUUUUAAACCUUGUUCUUGCUAUUUAUUUACUUGCUACUAGGGUGUCCCAUCUCAUGCCAAUACUUUCUCAGCCUUCUUUAGUUUUUUUGCUGCUAUUUGUUUAGUAUGUUGUUCAGGUGUCCUUGUCAUGCAAGUUUUUCCUUUUUCCCUUUUCUCUCCUAUACUUUUUAAUUUGAUUAGUUGCAAAUCCUUGCUCACAUUUUGAGCACAAUUGUGUAGUUUAAAAUAUUGAAAUUGGAUUC